UCCCAGUGAAAACAGGAGGAGGCAGUACUGCUAACCUAUCCACCAGCUUGUUCUAUCGCAGAGCUGCCCUUGGAGCCACAAGGGAAGAAACAGAGAGAAAGGGCUGAAGGAAGACUUUCUGGAAGAAGCAAGGCCUUGAGAACCAUGUGAUGGAUGACAGGGAAGAUUUAAAGAACAUGUGUACAGUAAGCCAACGCUUCAUGUGAUCCCACUAUCCACUGGAGAGACACAGAGGUAAGUAAGAUAUAUUCUUUAUGUAGAGUAGCUUGAAGUCUGAUCCGAAAGAGUCACGU
rnacentral:lncRNA from 12 species